UACAGAGGGGGCAAGCGUUGUUCGGAAUUACUGGGCGUAAAGGGCGCGUAGGCGGUGUGCCAAGUCAGGCGUGAAAGCCCCGGGCUCAACCUGGGAACGGCGCUUGAGACUGGCACGCUCGAGUUCGGGAGAGGAUGGUGGAAUUCCCAGUGUAGAGGUGAAAUUCGUAGAUAUUGGGAAGAACACCGAUGGCGAAGGCAGCCAUCUGGACCGACACUGACGCUGAGGCGCGAAAGCGUGGGGAGCAAACAGG
rnacentral:rRNA from 1 species